rnacentral:lncRNA from 1 species
AUCAAAGAGAAUUUCCCUUUAGCUUAGCAGUGUGCUGCAGCUCUCAAAAGAUUGGAUCUGAAAGAGAGAGAGACACACGCACACGCACAUAGGAGGAGAAAGAGAGCCAGAGCCAGAGAUGAAGACAAGGGAGGGAAGGGAAAAAAGACUUUUCUUUUUUUUCUUUCUAGAGGAAUUCUGCCCAGACUCUCCAGCAGUUGGUAGCAGGCAAGCUUUCUCCUGUGUCGCCUGGAAAAGUUGCAAAAUUGCUCUUCACCUGUAAGAACAUGCAUUUUAUCUUCCAGUCUCUUCUUGUCAAUUUGGAAAUUGCAGACACCCCGGCUCAGGAGAAAUGGCUCUGUGCAUUGGUUUUCCUGGCUGACCCUGAGAAUAAGCAACUCUGUCCGCUUGUUGUCUGAAGUUGUUUGAAGAUGAUUAGAGGAGGGUCAUGAACUUGUCGUCGUCGUCAUCAUCAUUGUCAUCGUCAUCAUCAUCACCAUCACCACCAGCAGCAGCAGCAGCAGCAGCAGCAGCAGCAAGAUUUUGUGUUGGGAAGGUACUUCCAAAUGCUACAGGGGACAGAAGGUCAUCAGCUAUUGGCCCAGGGAUUAUAGCAUGGAAGAGUUCCUCUUCUCAGAGGAUAUUAAACUUUUUGAGGAUUAAAA